rnacentral:rRNA from 1 species
AUACAGAGGGUGCGAGCGUUAAUCGGAAUUACUGGGCGUAAAGCGCACGUAGGCGGAUCGAUCAGUCGGAUGUGAAAGCCCUGGGCUCAACCUGGGAAUGGCAUACGAUACUGUCGAUCUCGAGUAUGGUAGAGGGUAGCGGAAUUCCCGGUGUAGCGGUGAAAUGCGUAGAUAUCGGGAGGAACAUCAGUGGCGAAGGCGGCUAUCUGGACCAAUACUGACGCUGAGGCGCGAAAGCGUGGGGAGCAAACAGGAUUAGAUACCCGAGUAGUCC